GGUUGUAUUUAUUAGAUAAAGAACCAAUAUUUUUGGUGACUCAUAAUAACUUUACGGAUCACAUUAUGUGACAUAUCAUUCAAGUUUCUGACCUAUCAGCUUUAGACGGUAGGGUAUUGGCCUACCGUGGCUAUGACGGGUAACGGGGAAUUAGGGUUCGAUUCCGGAGAGGGAGCCUGAGAAACGGCUACCACAUCUAAGGAAGGCAGCAGGCGCGCAAAUUACCCAAUCCUAAUACAGGGAGGUAGUGACAAGAAAUAACAAUACAGAACCUUACGGUUUUGUAAUUGGAAUGAGUUAAGUAUAAACCCCUUAACAAGUAUCAAUUGGAGGGCAAGUCUGGUGCCAGCAGCCGCGGUAAUUCCAGCUCCAAUAGCGUAUAUUAAAGUUGUUGCAGUUAAAAAGCUCGUAGUUAAUCUUCUGUUAAUUUUUAUAUAUAAUAUUUCGAUAUUUAUAUAAUAUUAACAUAAUUCAUAUUACUUUUUAGUAUAUGAAACUUUACUUUGAGAAAAUUAGAGUGCUUAAAGCAGGCUAUUGCCUUGAAUACUCCAGCAUGGAAUAAUAUUAAGGAUUUUUAUUCUUCUUAUUGGUUCUAGAAUAAAAAUGAUGAUUAAUAGGAACAGUUGGGGGCAUUUGUAUUUAACAGUCAGAGGUGAAAUUCUUAGAUUUGUUAAAGACAAACUACUGCGAAAGCAUUUGCCAAGGAUGUUUUCAUUAAUCAAGAACGAAAGUUAGGGGAUCGAAGACGAUCAGAUACCGUCGUAGUCUUAACCAUAA
rnacentral:rRNA from 1 species